CCUGUCCCUAGAGAUGUUGCAGUUGCGGCUGCCAUCACAUGUGCAUCUGUAGAUGGCAGAGAGGAGAGAGGCUGUGUCUAUGCUCAGUUUUGACCUGUGAACGUCUGAAUGAUUAGCAGCCUAUCACU